ensembl:lncRNA
AUGGUCCCUUGGGCAACUAUCUGCAGAGCAAGUGUGCUUUAGACCCCCAGCGGAGCUGCUCCGGUCGGUGGGGGAUGAAGACCACGUCUCCAGGUGGUGACAACAAGCGGUCUUGUUCAGUGUCAGCUCCUGCUGUAUAGGACACACCACGUGUACAUACUCUUCCGCCCUGGCAACACCCUCCAGGCCCACCCGAUGCCCACUGUGCACAGCAGGAAGUCAAGGUCCUCACAGGUUCUGGGUUUGCCCAAGAGGUCUUCACAGCUUGGUAGUCCGCUGGGUAACGGACGGAACAAAACCACGCCGUACACAUCUGGCUUUGGAGCACUCUUCGCCCGGCACCAAACCGGAGUGGGGACAGUUCUGCCUGGGCUUCACUCCUCAUCAGCCCUUCCCGCUGCCUCUGGGCGCUUUGUCCACUGCUUACCGUUUCAACACCAGGACUUGGCCAAACCGGGCCCUGCGAGGCUGAAGGGAUAGGGGACCUGGGGCCUGUUAAACCUGCUACCGUGAGUCUGACGGUGUAAUUGCCAGUUCCCUGUGAUUGGCACAUGUGAGACACAGCAGCUAAGCACACAGUAAUUCUACUUGAGUAAUGUGAGCACUGGAUCUGUCCCCUGGAAUCUCUCCCAUCCCUACUGAGGCUGGAAUCCACCUGCCGGACUGCCUCGUCUACAUGUUUACUUGUCAUCUCGGGGUGUGGAGCUCCCUGCUCCUCACAGAGCACCUUUUGGGGCCGAAAUCUCACUCGGGUCCUCGGAUCUCGCUUAACGUGGAUGUCAGCUCAGUGCAGGAGUGUGAAGACUUGGAGGAGGAUCCAAGUCUGAGAGUGUUCUCACCAGAAAAACCAUAUGAAGAGGAAUGCCUUUCUUUUCCUGUGUGGCUUUGCUUAAGCAGUGGAGAGCUACCAUCAACAUUUGGUUCUCACGUUGACCCUCUGUUCCAGCUAAUGGGUCACAAAUUUAAUUAAACACACGUUAACAGUGGGAUCUUCUGCUGUCAGAACUUGGGGCUUUUAAAGCUGUUCGGGGCAGGCCCACUGCCGGUAUAAGACCUUGCCCUACUUAGGGAGGCCCUGGAGAGGCAGCAUUAUGCCAAUUUUAUAGGAGAAAAGCUGAGCCAGACGCACUGCAUAUCUCUCCCCACAAAGAGAACCAAGGCUGAGGACUUCUUCUCACCUCCCGAGAGACCUCGGAGGCAGUGGAAGCGAGAGACAUUCCAGGCCAGUGUUUGUUAGAACUCGAGAGCUUACUUCAUUGGUCCCGGCCGACUUCUGUGAACACCGGGCAGUAACCCACGGCGUAGUGUCUCGUCCCUCUGAUUUUGAGGUAAGGAGGAAGCCGAGGCGUGCAGAUGCUGCCAGCUGACUUGCCCUUCACCAUGAAGCCAGCGGGAGACAGACCUGGGAUGUGAACGAGGCACCGGGCUCCUGAGCCUGACCACCACUUCCGCACUGAACCUUUCUGCUUCCUGUGCAUUCAACUUGUGUAUAUCUGGAACAGAAGGAAGAGCAGCUAUGGCUCUUUCAGAGAGGCCUGAGGCUGCCUGGCACUUGUGGUCCACUUGGAGCAGGCCCGAGGCCCAGCUGUGCUCGUGUGGGGGUCAGCGCCAGGGGUGCGGCCAUCGCAGUGUGAGUGAGGCUGG